CCAGGUCUUCACCCUCGAAAAGAAAACCUCAAAAAUGAAAAACGAAAAAAACAAUCCCUCUCACGCGACCCCCAAAUCGCCGUCGUCGCCGCCUGUCGAUUCCGGCCAAUUCCGGCGGCCUCCGUCGCCAUCCAACACCUCCCCGUGCUCCUGCGCCUCCCCUCUAUUACUUCGGCCGUCUGAAUCGCAGCUCGCCUCUUCCUUUGGCGCUCGCGGUUAACCCUAUUCGUGCGGUCCCCGGCGCGUGGCGUCGCCGUGGACGCCGGCACAGCACCCGCGCAUUCGGCUGCUCUUCACCUACAUAAUCCGCACUCCCCACGCGGCUGCGCCUCCUGGUAUUCGUCCUCACGCCUCUGGUUCGAGGGCGACGGCCUCGGCGACGCGGCGGUCGCCGGCCAUGGCCUCCCGUGCUUCGGAUAGGAGGCGCCUCCGUCGAGCACUUCACCGUCGCCGAGUGACGAAGGCAGACCGCAGCGGCGGUGUCGUUCAACCUCGGCUACAACCGUCAAAUCAGUUCAAGAGGAUGCUUUCAGGAGAGAUACCCUGAACAUGUAGGAAGAAAUGAAUUCAGCUUGCUCCAGGGUUGUACUCGAUACUCGACAGCAACCAGGACACGCCGCUGGGUUGAUUGACAAGGUUUCUGGGUUGGCUCUUUGCACAAGGCGAUCAAAGCCUGGAAGUUGACUCCCACAAAGCUGUUACAGAAAAUAGGAGUAUGUCUGAGUAUUAAAUUCUGUUUCAGGAGAGAUUAUGAAUAGUUAUCGUGAGUGUCACACGUCGUUCAGUGAGUUGUCGAACUUGAUUUUGUCUAUGUUACUGCAGUUGUUGUGUUAUUCAAUUGUCAUGUACCUUAUAUAACUGGAUCCUUCUAUCGCACUUUGAGGAAUUCAAUUUCUAUUUUCCGAGGUGGUGCCUUCUCAUUGUAGGCGUAAUAUCACCACCUUGUUGUAAAGAGAUGACUCCAAUAAUCCGUACAUCCUCAUUCCUUCGAUCACAAUGUUCCAUCCUGAACAUUAAA